GACGAACGCUGGCGGCGUGCUUAACACAUGCAAGUCGAACGGUGAAGCUCCAGCUUGCUGGAGUGGAUCAGUGGCGAACGGGUGAGUAACAUGUGAGCAACCUGCCCCUGACUCUGGAAUAAGCGCUGGAAACGGCGUCUAAUACUGGAUACGAGAAGGGCCCGCAUGGGCACUUUCUGGAAAGUUUUUCGGUUGGGGAUGGGCUCGCGGCCUAUCAGCUUGCUGGUGAGGUAAUGGCUCACCAAGGCGACGACGGGUAGCCGGCCUGAGAGGGCGACCGGCCACACUGGGACUGAGACACGGCCCAGACUCCUACGGGAGGCAGCAGUGGGGAAUAUUGCACAAUGGGCGAAAGCCUGAUGCAGCGACGCCGCGUGAGGGAUGACGGCCUUCGGGUUGUAAACCUCUUUCAGCAGGGAAGAAGCGAAAGUGACGGUACCUGCAGAAGAAGCACCGGCUAACUACGUG
rnacentral:rRNA from 1 species